rnacentral:rRNA from 1 species
UACGUAGGGGGCAAGCGUUGUCCGGAUUUAUUGGGCGUAAAGAGCGUGUAGGCGGCCUGGAAGGUCAGCUGUGAAAACUCGAGGCUCAACCUCGAGACGUCGGUUGAAACCACCUGGCUAGAGUCCGGAAGAGGCGAGUGGAAUUCCCGGUGUAGCGGUGAAAUGCGCAGAUAUCGGGAGGAACACCAAUGGCGAAGGCAGCUCGCUGGGACGUGACUGACGCUGAGACGCGAAAGCGUGGGAGCAACAGGG